ACGAACGCUGGCGGCGUGCUUAACACAUGCAAGUCGAACGGAAAGCGCUCUUCGGAGUGACUCGAGUGGCGAACGGGUGAGUAACACGUGGGUGAUCUGCCCUGCACUUUGGGAUAAGCCUGGGAAACUGGGUCUAAUACCGGAUAGGACUACGAAUCGCAUGGUUUGUGGUGGAAAGCUUUUGCGGUGUGGGAUGGGCCCGCGGCCUAUCAGCUUGUUGGUGGGGUGAUGGCCUACCAAGGCGACGACGGGUAGCCGGCCUGAGAGGGUGUCCGGCCACACUGGUACUGAGAUACGGCCCAGACUCCUACGGGAGGCAGCAGUGGGGAAUAUUGCACAAUGGGCGCAAGCCUGAUGCAGCGACGCCGCGUGAGGGAUGACGGCCUUCGGGUUGUAAACCUCUUUCAACAGGGACGAAGCGCAAGUGACGGUACCUGUAGAAGAAGCACCGGCCAACUACGU
rnacentral:rRNA from 1 species